rnacentral:rRNA from 1 species
AGCAGUCGCCGCGGUAAUACGUAGGUGGCAAGCGUUGUCCGGAAUUAUUGGGCGUAAAGCGCGCGCAGGUGGUUUAAUAAGUCUGAUGUGAAAGCCCACGGCUCAACCGUGGAGGGUCAUUGGAAACUGUUAAACUUGAGUGCAAGAGAGAAAAGUGGAAUUCCUAGUGUAGCGGUGAAAUGCGUAGAGAUUAGGAGGAACACCAGUGGCGAAGGCGGCUUUUUGGCCUGUAACUGACACUGAGGCGCGAAAGCGUGGGGAGCAAACAGGAUUAGAUACCCCUGUAGUCCCUGUCUCUUAUAC